AAGAGAGUCGUAGUGGUUACGUGGUUGGCUUGAAACCAGUUAUUGGAGGUUCGAUUCCUUCCUUUCUUG
rnacentral:tRNA from 1 species